rnacentral:piRNA from 1 species
UGUAAAAAGUUGUCAAUGUAUCUGGGC